AGAGUUUGAUCCUGGCUCAGAACGAACGCUGGCGGCAUGCCUAACACAUGCAAGUCGAACGAUGCCUUCGGGCAUAGUGGCGCACGGGUGCGUAACGCGUGGGAAUCUGCCCUUAGGUACGGAAUAACUCAGGGAAACUUGAGCUAAUACCGUAUAAUGACUCCGGACCAAAGAUUUAUCGCCUGAGGAUGAGCCCGCGUCGGAUUAGCUAGUUGGUGAGGUAAAAGCUCACCAAGGCGACGAUCCGUAGCUGGUCUGAGAGGAUGAUCAGCCACACUGGGACUGAGACACGGCCCAGACUCCUACGGGAGGCAGCAGUGGGGAAUAUUGGACAAUGGGCGAAAGCCUGAUCCAGCAAUGCCGCGUGAGUGAUGAAGGCCUUAGGGUUGUAAAGCUCUUUUACCCGGGAUGAUAAUGACAGUACCGGGAGAAUAAGCCCCGGCUAACUCCGUGCCAGCAGCCGCGGUAAUUC
rnacentral:rRNA from 1 species